GACGAACCACCCAAACGUUAUUCGGAAUUACUGGGCUUAAAGGGUGCGUAGGCUGCGCUGUAAGUCGGGUGUGAAAUCCCUCAGCUUAACUGAGGAAUUGCGCCCGAUACUGCAGUGCUUGAGGGAGAUAGGGGUCAGCGGAACUGAUGGUGGAGCGGUGAAAUGUGUUGAUAUCAUCAGGAACACCGGUGGCGAAAGCGGCUGACUGGAUCUCUUCUGACGCUGAGGCACGAAAGCUAGGGUAGCGAACGGG
rnacentral:rRNA from 1 species